rnacentral:rRNA from 1 species
GACGAACGCUGGCGGCGUGCCUAACACAUAGGAGUCGCAUGGCUCUUAUGCCAAAGAUUUAUCGCUGAAAGAUGGCCUCGCGUCUGAUUAGCCAGUUGGUGAGGUAACGGCCCACCAAGGCGACGAUCAGUAGCCGGACUGAGAGGUUGACCGGCCACAUUGGGACUGAGAUACGGCCCAGACUCCUACGGGAGGCAGCAGUGGGGAAUAUUGGGCAAUGGGCGAAAGCCUGACCCAGCAACGCCGCGUGAAGGAAGAAGGCCUUCGGGUUGUAAACUUCUUUUACCAGGGACGAAGAACGUGACGGUACCUGGAGAAAAAGCAACGGCUAACUACGUG